rfam:Rhodovulum sp. NI22 contig00006, whole genome shotgun sequence.
UGCGCAGCGCGUGUUUCAGAACGAUGUUGCGGAAGCUUACCCCCUUCAGCCGGGCGGUGCGGAUAUAUUGCGCCGUCAUCACCUCGGCCAUCGAGGCACGGGUCAUCCUGGCGAUAUAGCCCAUGCCGUAGAGCGCCAUGGUGGCCACGGGCAGGGUGAAAUUCUCGAAGGUGAUGC